CCUACGGGAUGCAGCAGCAGGGAAUCUUCGGCAAUGGACGAAAGCCUGACCGAGCAACGCCGCGUGAGUGAAGAAGGUUUUCGGAUCGUAAAACUCUGUUGUUAGAGAAGAACAAGUAGUAGAGUAACUGCUCUUACCUUGACGGUAUCUAACCAGAAAGCCACGGCUAACUACGUGCCAGCAGCCGCGGUAAUACGUAGGUGGCAAGCGUUGUCCGGAUUUAUUGGGCGUAAAGCGAGCGCAGGCGGUCUUUUAAGUCUGAUGUGAAAGCCCUCGGCUCAACCGAGGAAGGUCAUUGGAAACUGGAGGACUUGAGUGCAGAAGAGGAGAGUGGAAUUCCAUGUGUAGCGGUGAAAUGCGUGGAUAUAUGGAGGAACACCAGUGGCGAAGGCGACUCUCUGGUCUGUAACUGACGCUGAGGCUCGAAAGCGUGGGGAGCAAACAGGAUUAGAUACCCCUGUAGUC
rnacentral:rRNA from 1 species